GUUUGAUUAGUUUCGAUUAAGAAUUGAGUCGUGACUUUAAUAUCAUCUUUUCUCUAUGUAGGUGCUAUUACUCUAUGGAGUAUUUUAAAAAUGAACUUUAAUUUUUAUAUCUAAAAUUUAAUUAAGAAUAUUAGUUUUGAACAAAUUAGGGAUUUUUGUCACUGUAGAACAAGGACAAAAGAUGUAAACAUAUACAGAAGCAACUUGAUGUUUUUAGAGAUCACGAUCAUUAACCACUACUAGAAAAAGCAAAAUUAGCGAGGGAAAUUAGUGACGGAAAAAAUGAAAUUCCUCAUAAAUUCCUUGGUCGCAAAAUUUAGUGCCGGAAUUAGAGAGGAAUUUCAUGUUUUCCCUCACUAAAUAUCCCUCACUAAUUUUUGUUUUUUAAGUAGUGUAAUCUUCUUUCACAAUACCUACAACACUAAAGCCCAACACCAACACUAACACAAUUUAAAAUCAGUACCCUACGACCUAACUUGAGAAAUCCAUCAUCAUCGCUUUGGUCACUGUAAAAACAUCUCGUCGCUUUUAUGAUUUAAUGUUUGCGUUCGCUGAAUACCUCGUUUUGAUCUUCAUCGUUUGGUGGUUGUAAGUGGCAAAGUAAAAUUUCAUAGGUUUUUCGUGACAUGUCAUUUGAGUGAGAGGAAUAUCAAGCAUAGAAGUAGAAUAAAUAAUUAAUCUUCAUAAUCAUUUUUUUUUUAUUAAAGUAGUUAUAAUUAUACAAGAAUACGAGAGAAACAUAAAUCAUUAUGCAUAUAAAAAAAAGGUUAAAUAUGUUUUUUGUCCCUAUAAAUAUGUCAAUAUUUCGUUUUAGUCCCUCAAAACUUUUUCCUUCAACUUUUAGUCCCUAUAAAAUUUUCAAUCAUUACUUUUGGUCCCUAUUUUUAAUUUAAUUUUUGUAUUUUUUUAAUGAAAUUGUGCAGAAAUGUGUAAAAUAUUCAAAAAAAAAUUUCUAAAAAAAAAUAGAAUUUUUUAACAAAACACAAAUUAAAUAUGAAUUUUUAACCUUCAAAAAUAUUAAAAUUCAUAUUAAAUUCAUGUUUGGUUAAACAAUUCUAAUUUAUUUUUGGAGUGAUUCUUAUAAUAUUAUGAAUUUUUCUGAAUACUUUUAUUAAAAAAUAUGAAUUCUAUACGUAUGAGUUUACUUUAAAAGAGAGACCAAAAGUAAAGAUUGAAAAUUUUAUAGGGACUAAAAGUUGAAGGAAAAUUUUAGAGAAACUAAAACAAAAAGUUGACAUAUUUAUAAGUACUAAAAACAUAUUUAACCUUAAAAAAAAAUGAGAAUUAUAAAUCAAACUUUGAGGUAAAUUAUAUAAAAAUACAAAUACUUACUAUACUAUGACGUACAAAUGAAAUUAUAUAAGUUUUUUAAUAAACGGAAUACACUGGCCAUCAAUGCACCUCAUAUAACAGGCGCGACAACCAACUGGACAAUCAAUGUAAUUAUAACAUUCGUAAACUUUACCUGCAAUGUCAGAUGAGCAAAGAGAAUGUUACUAAAAAUGAUAAAAUUUUGUUAAUAUGAAAAUGGUGUAAAAAGUGACAUACCACAAGUUACAACAAGAAAUAAAGACAGAAAUAUGAUCAAAACAUAAACACAAAAUUGAAUUUUAGUCAUAUGUUCCAUCCUUUGCAU
rnacentral:lncRNA from 1 species